rnacentral:rRNA from 1 species
CGAGCGUACACAGGUGCUGCAUGGCUGUCGGUCAGCUCGUGUCGUGAGAUGUUGGGUUAAGUCCCGCAACGAGCGCAACCCCUGCAUUCAGUUGCCAUCGGGUAAUGCCGGGCACUCUGGAAGGACUGCCAUCGACAAGAUGGAGGAAGGUGGGGAGUGACGUCAAGUCAUCAUGGCCCUUAUGUCCAGGGCGGACACACGUGCUACAAUGGCCGGCACAACGGGAAGCGAGUUCGCGAGGACGGGCGGAUCCCUCAAAGCCGGUCGCAGUUCGGAUUGAAGUCUGCAACUCGACUUCAUGAAGCUGGAAUCGCUAGUAAUCGUGGAUCAGCCAAGCCGCGGUGAAUACGUUCCCGGGCCUU